CACGUAGGGUGCGAGCGUUGUCCGGAAUUAUUGGGCGUAAAGAGCUCGUAGGCGGUUUGUCGCGUCUGCUGUGAAAACCUAAGGCUCAACCUUGGGCUUGCAGUGGGUACGGGCAGACUAGAGUGCGGUAGGGGUGACUGGAAUUCCUGGUGUAGCGGUGGAAUGCGCAGAUAUCAGGAGGAACACCGGUGGCGAAGGCGGGUCUCUGGGCAGUAACUGACGCUGGAGGAGCGAAAAGCGUGGGGAGCGAACAGG
rnacentral:rRNA from 1 species